rnacentral:rRNA from 1 species
UACGUAGGGUGCGAGCGUUAAUCGGAAUUACUGGGCGUAAAGCGUGCGCAGGCGGUUCGUUAAGUCAGAUGUGAAAGCCCCGGGCUCAACCUGGGAACUGCAUUUGAAACUGGCGGGCUUGAGUGUGGCAGAGGGGGGUGGAAUUCCUGGUGUAGCGGUGAAAUGCGUAGAUAUCAGGAGGAACACCGGUGGCGAAGGCGGCCCUCUGGACGGUGACUGACGCUGAGACGCGAAAGCGUGGGGAGCAAACAGG